rnacentral:rRNA from 1 species
AAUGAACGCUGGCGGCGUGCCUAACACAUGCAAGUCGGAUGUGCCGCAAGGUGCAUGGCAGACGGGUGAGUAACGCGUAGGGAAUCUACCUUUUUGUGGGGAAUAACGCUCCGAAAGGAGUGGUAAUACCGCAUGAGACCGUGACCUGGGAUGGUUACGGUGAAACCUGGGGACCGCAAGGCCUGGGGCAAAAAGAGGAUCCUGCGUCUGAUUAGCUAGUUGGCGGGUAAUGGCCCACCAAGGCGACGAUCAGUAGCCGGCCUGAGAGGGUGAUCGGCCACACUGGAACUGAGACACGGUCCAGACUCCUACGGGAGGCAGCAGUGGGGAAUUUUGCGCAAUGGACGAAAGUCUGACGCAGCAACGCCGCGUGGGUGAUGAAGGUCUUCGGACUGUAAAACCCUGUCGUCAGGGACGAAGGUGGCAGUGUUAAUAGCGCUGUUACUUGACGGUACCUGGAGAGGAAGCCCCGGGCUAACUCUGUGCCAGCAGCCGCGGUAAU